GACGUAGGGCGCGAGCGUUGUCCGGAUUUAUUGGGCGUAAAGAGCUCGUAGGCGGCUUGUCGCGUCGUCCGUGAAAACCUGCAGCUCAACUGCAGGCUUGCGGUCGAUACGGGCAGGCUGGAGUUCGGUAGGGGAGACUGGAAUUCCUGGUGUAGCGGUGAAAUGCGUUGAUAUCAUCAGGAACACCGGUGGCGAAAGCGGCUUACUGGGUCUCUUCUGACGCUGAGAUACGAAAGCUAGGGUAGCGAAGGGG
rnacentral:rRNA from 1 species